CCUACGGGAGGCUGCAGUGGGGAAUAUUGGACAAUGGGGGGAACCCUGAUCCAGCCAUGCCGCGUGUGUGAAGAAGGCCCUCGGGUUGUAAAGCACUUUCAGUGAGGAAGAACGCCUGGUGGUUAAUACCCAUCAGGAAAGACAUCACUCACAGAAGAAGCACCGGCUAACUCCGUGCCAGCAGCCGCGGUAAUACGGAGGGUGCGAGCGUUAAUCGGAAUUACUGGGCGUAAAGCGCGCGUAGGUGGCUUGAUAAGCCGGUUGUGAAAGCCCCGGGCUCAACCUGGGAACGGCAUCCGGAACUGUCAAGCUAGAGUGCAGGAGAGGAAGGUAGAAUUCCCGGUGUAGCGGUGAAAUGCGUAGAGAUCGGGAGGAAUACCAGUGGCGAAGGCGGCCUUCUGGCCUGACACUGACACUGAGGUGCGAAAGCGUGGGUAGCAAACAGGAUUAGAUACCCCGGUAGUC
rnacentral:rRNA from 1 species